GGUGGUUUGUCGCGUUGUUCGUGAAAACRCYAYGCUCAACGGGCGUGCGGGCGAUACGGGCAGACUUGAGUACUGCAGGGGAGACUGGAAUUCCUGGUGUAGCGGUGGAAUGCGCAGAUAUCAGGAGGAACACCGGUGGCGAAGGCGGGUCUCUGGGCAGUAACUGACGCUGAGGAGCGAAAGCGUGGGGAGCGAACAGGAUUAGAUACCCUGGUAGUCCACGCCGUAAACGGUGGGUACUAGGUGUGGGUUUCCUUCCUUGGGAUCCGUGCCGUAGCUAACGCAUUAAGUACCCCGCCUGGGGAGUACGGCCGCAAGGCUAAAACUCAAAGAAAUUGACGGGGGCCCGCACAAGCGGCGGAGCAUGUGGAUUAAUUCGAUGCAACGCGAAGAACCUUACCUGGGUUUGACAUGCACAGGACGGCGUAGAGAUAUGUUUCCCUUGUGGCCUGUGUGCAGGUGGUG
rnacentral:rRNA from 1 species